rnacentral:rRNA from 1 species
UACAGAGGUCCCGAGCGUUGUUCGGAUUCAUUGGGCGUAAAGGGUGCGUAGGUGGCCAAGUAAGUUGGAUGUGAAAUCCUGGGGCUUAACCUCAGAAUUGCAUUCAAUACUGCUUAGCUAGAGAGCUGUAGAGGAGACUGGAAUUUACGGUGUAGCAGUGAAAUGCGUAGAUAUCGUAAGGAACGCCAGUGGCGAAAGCGAGUCUCUGGACAGUUACUGACACUGAGGCACGAAGGCCAGGGGAGCAAACGGG